AGCGAACGCUGGCGGCAGGCUUAACACAUGCAAGUCGAGCGGGCACCUUCGGGUGUCAGCGGCAGACGGGUGAGUAACACGUGGGAACGUGCCCUUCGGUUCGGAAUAACUCAGGGAAACUUGAGCUAAUACCGGAUACGCCCUUAUGGGGAAAGGUUUACCGCCGAAGGAUCGGCCCGCGUCUGAUUAGCUAGUUGGUGGGGUAACGGCCUACCAAGGCGACGAUCAGUAGCUGGUCUGAGAGGAUGAUCAGCCACACUGGGACUGAGACACGGCCCAGACUCCUACGGGAGGCAGCAGUGGGGAAUAUUGGACAAUGGGCGCAAGCCUGAUCCAGCCAUGCCGCGUGAGUGAUGAAGGCCUUAGGGUUGUAAAGCUCUUUCACCGAUGAAGAUAAUGACGGUAGUCGGAGAAGAAGCCCCGGCUAACUUCGUGCCAGCCGCCGCUGUAAGAC
rnacentral:rRNA from 1 species